GUUGUGGUGUUUGCAUAUGUGUUCUGUGUCACUGCUACACACACUUUAAGAGCUGUAGUGCUGAUCAGAGUGUGUUCAGUCCUUUCAGAGCCACUGACACGCAGCACAAUGAUGAUGGUACUGAGUCUCCUGCUGGGGACACUGGGACUCCUCGCUCACCAGUCUUUUGGGGAAAUCGUCCUGACUCAGUCUCCAGGAUCUCAGUCUUUUUCUCCAGGAGAAUCUGUUACUCUCACCUGUAGAACCAGUGAGAGUGUUAGCAAUGACCUCCAAUGGUACCUGCAGAAACCUGGAGAAGCUCCUAAACUCCUGAUCUAUAAUGAUGAUGUACGUUACACUGGGGUUCCAGAUCGUUUCAGUGGUAGUGGAUCUAACACAGAAUUUUACCUAAAAAUCUCUGGAGUUCAGGCUGAAGAUGCAGGAGAUUAUUAUUGUCAGCAGGAUAAGAGCUUGCCGUUGACUUUCGGUGGAGGAACCAAACUCAUCAUCAAAGGUCCCACGGUGAAGCCCUCCGUGUCUCUGCUCCCUCCCUCCUCUCUGCACCAGUCUGAGGAAUCGGCCUCGCUGCUCUGCCUGCUGUCUGCCUACUCUCCACAGGGGGCGUCGGUGAGCUGGACGGUGGACGGCUCGGCGGUGAAGGACGGGGUCUUGACCAGUGCAGAAGAACAGAAGAAGGGCGGUUACACACGCAGCAGUACCCUGACCCUCAGCAAAGCACUCUGGGAAAAGGGGGAGGAGUUUGUCUGUACGGUCUCCCACGAGGGCGUGGAUCAUCCGGUCACGUUCAGAAAGAGCCAGUGUUAAGGCUAACAGCUCCAAGAUAGAACUGAACACUGAGCUGCUUACACAUCCAUCUACAAUAGAGUUUCAGUUCUACACAAUGCUGACAUUUCUGUCUUUACUCUCUUCACUGUCCUGUUGCUCUUCCUGUAGUUUUGCUCUGCUGAAAUAAAGCUUCAUUUUGGA